rnacentral:rRNA from 1 species
AGAACGAACGCUGGCGGCAUGCCUAAUACAUGCAAGUCGAACGAACACUUCGGUGUUAGUGGCGCACGGGUGCGUAACGCGUGGGAAUCUGCCCUUGGGUUCGGAAUAACAGUUGGAAACGACUGCUAAUACCGGAUGAUAUCGAAAGAUCAAAGAUUUAUCGCCCAGGGAUGAGCCCGCGUAGGAUUAGCUAGUUGGUGAGGUAAGGCUCACCGAGGCGACGAUCCUUAGCUGGUCUGAGAGGAUGAUCACGCCAACGACGUGGGACUGACGACCACCGGCCCAGACCUCCGGUACGGGAGCAGCGAGGUAGGGAAUAGUGGAACAAGUGGGACGACGAACGCCUGACUCCGAG